UACGUAGGGGGCAAGCGUUGUCCGGAUUUAUUGGGCGUAAAGAGCGUGUAGGCGGCCUGGUAGGUCAGCUGUGAAAACUCGAGGCUCAACCUCGAGACGUCGGUUGAAACCACCUGGCUAGAGUCCGGAAGAGGAGAGUGGAAUUCCCGGUGUAGCGGUGAAAUGCGCAGAUAUCGGGAAGAACACCCGUGGCGACGGCGGCUCUCUGGGACGGUACUGACGCUGAGACGCGAAAGCGUGGGGAGCAAACAGG
rnacentral:rRNA from 1 species